rnacentral:rRNA from 1 species
ACGAACGCUGGCGGCGAGCUUAACACAUGCCAGGCGAACGGAAAGGCCCUGCUUUUGUGGGGUGCUCGGGUGGCGAACGGGGGAGUAACACGUGAGUAACCUGCCCUUGACUUUGGGAUAACUUCAGGAAACUGGGGCUAAUACCGGAUAGGAGCUCCUGCUGCAUGGUGGGGGUUGGAAAGUUUCGGCGGUUGGGGAUGGACUCGCGGCUUAUCAGCUUGUUGGUGGGGUAGUGGCUUACCAAGGCUUUGACGGGUAGCCGGCCUGAGAGGGUGACCGGCCACAUUGGGACUGAGAUACGGCCCAGACUCCUACGGGAGGCAGCAGUGGGGAAUAUUGCACAAUGGGCGGAAGCCUGAUGCAGCAACGCCGCGUGCGGGAUGACGGCCUUCGGGUUGUAAACCGCUUUCGCCUGUGACGAAGCGUGAGUGACGGUAAUGGGUAAAGAAGCACCGGCUAACUACGUG